rnacentral:rRNA from 1 species
AAUAGAUACCCUGGUAGUCCACGCCGUAAACGAUGAGUGCUAAGUGUUAGGGGGUUUCCGCCCCUUAGUGCUGCAGCUAACGCAUUAAGCACUCCGCCUGGGGAGUACGGUCGCAAGACUGAAACUCAAAGGAAUUGACGGGGGCCCGCACAAGCGGUGGAGCAUGUGGUUUAAUUCGAAGCAACGCGAAGAACCUUACCAGGUCUUGACAUCCCGUUGACCACUGUAGAGAUAUAGUUUCCCCUUCGGGGGCAACGGUGACAGGUGGUGCAUGGUUGUCGUCAGCUCGUGUCGUGAGAUGUUGGGUUAAGUCCCGCAACGAGCGCAACCCUUGAUCUUAGUUGCCAUCAUUUAGUUGGGCACUCUAAGGUGACUGCCGGUGACAAACCGGAGGAAGGUGGGGAUGACGUCAAAUCAUCAUGCCCCUUAUGACCUGGGCUACACACGUGCUACAAUGGACGAUACAAACGGUUGCCAACUCGCGAGAGGGAGCUAAUCCGAUAAAAGUCGUUCUCAGUUCGGAUUGUAGG